AUUAUCUCACAAUGGUCCUCGUUUCAGCUAGCUGAACCAAUAGAAUUUUAUUUUUAGUUGCUACAAAAUAGUUAGCAUUGAAAGAAAGUAUGCUAUGUGUAGGUGCAACCACAUACAUGAGAGCGGAUUAGUAGGAAUAUACAAAUUUCUUGAAGCAACCAAAUACUGGUUGUAAGCAAACAAUAAACAGAGGGGGAGUAGGGGUGCAGGGUUAUUACGAUAAUUGGCAAUAUCUAUUGUCUUUGGAGUCGCAAUCGCUAGAAUUGGAGGUAGCGUGAUGACCUGUAUGCGGAAUCAAUUAAAUAACAGAUUAAUAAGUCCAUACUAAUAUCAGUAAAUAAAUUUUAUGGAGAAGUAUAUAAGUCGGCCACAUACAUAAGGGAUAAGACACCAUGUGGAACCGGUUGGAUUCUUAUUUAACAUGAUCCUGAGUUGCUAGCUUGAUACGCGAAACAAAAAUGUGUUGAUUAUACUCAACCUGCACGUGAAUACGAAGGCAUAAUAUCUAUCAAAAGCAUUGUGAAUUAUGACAUAGUGCUUCUGAGAGUAUAGUAGCUUUGAAAUUUGAUGGUAAGGCUUCAAGACGAAUUCUUAACAUGUUUCAAUCCGAUGAGGCAUACUCCAAAGCAUGUUUUAUGACAGACCUAGUGCUACUGUGCUAGUCAGUAUGGUAGGUGUAAGUAUGAUAAAUGAUAUAUUUUUCAUGCAGGCAGAUAAUAUGAGUAUUUACAGAAGAGCGAUGCAUUUAAACUAUAGGAGAUUGAUCCAAUAUCUUUUAAGCAGCAAAUGUCUUUUACCUGGUUUGUUCAAAGUCUUUAUGUGUAGGCAACUGGACUAUAACUGAAUAUCUCCUUUUCCAGCGCGAUGACCUUGCCUACAGAAUCAAUUACAAAACAGGUUACUAAGUGCAUACCUAUAUUUGUAAACAAAAUUUGGGGAAAAUCUAUAAAGUGACCAUAUGCACAACACACCAUGCAUGUGUAACCGGUUGUGAUAUACACAUUUGUGAUACGCUGGUGUGCAUAUUCUAUAGGGAAUUUUUUUGUGUGUGAUUUUCUUUUUUGUUGCAGUUUAAAAAAAAUCCUGAACAUACUAAGUGAUAGACAAUCAUCAAUUAUCAUGGUUAGAUACUCUAUACUAAACCAAAUUGCAGUAAAAAUUAGUAAAAUUUCUAAAAAAAUAAAUAAGGCAAGUAGUCAAAGUUAUGAUUAAAAAACUCAAACGUCAUAUAUUUGUGAAUGUAGGGAGCUUUAUUUGUAACAAAGGGAAAAGUUUAAAUUAGAUCAGGCCUUAUAUGCACAUAGUUUAAAGUGAAAUGAGAACCACGAUCGAAUAUACAUACAUUGAUAAAGAUAAAUGAUACUUAUACUCCAUGCAGAUUUGGUCUGACUUCAAAUCGCUUGCCUCAACACUGCUCUGUAGAUCCAUCCUAGGGCCGAGGGAGCAGUUUGGAGUAUGCAUAAUUGUUACGCGGUAUAUGUAUAUAUAAUCCAUAUGUAUUUUUUUGUGCAUCAGUUAUACGUUCUCAGCAUAAGAAAUAUAAAUUAUGUGGCAGUCAGACAGUAAAUGUGAUUCUGUGGUUGAGCACGUUGUGAGACAACAUUUGUGACGAAAAGGGGCCCUUUAAAUUAGAAAAUUAGAUAAGGCCUAAUAUGGAGAGGGGGAAUUGUUGGGAUCAGCCUAAUAUGCUCAGUAUUAAGUGAGUUGAGUACGAAUAAGAAAGAGGGGAAGAAUGUGAACCUAUUUUCUAGCUGGAGCAUGAAUGGUGAGAAGAAUGUCUAGCCUGGUUCCUAGUCUGAGCACGUAUUGGACAGAAGAGAUGAAUGAUGAAGACGACGAGGCGCGCUCGCACACAUAAGUUUGGUUACAGACUUGUGAUUCCUACCGGCGAAUGAGAUGGUCGCGCGAGGAGGUUGCGCCUGUGAAGGCGGUGGAGGCGCGCGGCG
rnacentral:lncRNA from 1 species